rnacentral:rRNA from 1 species
UACGUAGGGUGCGAGCGUUAAUCGGAAUUACUGGGCGUAAAGCGUGCGCAGGCGGUUUUGUAAGCCAGAUGUGAAAGCCCCGGGCUUAACCUGGGAAUGGCAUUUGGGACUGCAAGGCUGGAGUGUGGCAGAGGAGACUGGAAUUCCUGGUGUAGCAGUGAAAUGCGUAGAUAUCAGGAGGAAUACCGAUGGCGAAGGCAGGUCUCUGGGCCGUAACUGACGCUGAGGAGCGAAAGCGUGGGGAGCGAACAGG